UCUCUGUUAGUCUAGUGGUUAGGAUACCUGCUUGUCAAACAACUCGCAGGUGACCGGGGUUCAAUUCCCCGACAGAGAG